rnacentral:rRNA from 1 species
UCGGGAAUUUUGGGCAAUGGGCGAAAGCCUGACCCAGCAACGCCGCGUGAAGGAUGAAAUCCCUCGGGAUGUAAACUUCGCAAGAACAGGAAGAAUAAGUAAGGGUUAAUAUCUCUUACGAUGACGGUACUGUUUGUAAGCUCCGGCUAACUCCGUGCCAGCAGCCGCGGUAAUACGGGGGGAGCAAGCGUUGUUCGGAUUUACUGGGCGUAAAGGGCGCGUAGGCGGCCACCGCAAGUCGGUUGUGAAAUCUCUGGGCUUAACCCAGAAAGGUCAACCGAUACUGCGGGGCUAGAGUGCAGAAGGGGCAACUGGAAUUCUCGGUGUAGCGGUGAAAUGCGUAGAUAUCGAGAGGAACACCUGCGGCGAAGGCGGGUUGCUGGGCUGACACUGACGCUGAAGCGCGAAAGCUAGGGGAGCGAACG